rnacentral:rRNA from 1 species
AAGGUUUUCGGGAUUGUAAACCCCUUUUAGGAGGAAAGAGGGGGGGGGUUUCCACCCGGACGGUACCUCCAGAAAAAGCCACGGCUAACUUCGUGCCAGCAGCCGCGGUAAUACGAAGGUGGCGAGCGUUGUUCGGAUUUACUGGGCGUAAAGAGCACGUAGGCGGUUUAGUAAGCCCCUUGGGGAAAGCUAUGGGCUUAACCCAUAAAGGUCGAGGGGGGACUGCUAAGCUAGAGGGCGGGGAGAGGAGCGCGGAAUUUCCGGUGUAGCGGUGAAAUGCGUAGAUAAUCGGGAAGAAGGCCG